CAGCCGCCGCGGUAAUACGGAGGAUCCAAGCGUUAUCCGGAAUCAUUGGGUUUAAAGGGUCCGUAGGCGGCCUUAUAAGUCAGUGGUGAAAUCUCCCGGCUCAACCGGGAAAUGGCCAUUGAUACUGUAGGGCUUGAAUUAUUAGGAAGUAACUAGAAUAUGUAGUGUAGCGGUGAAAUGCUUAGAGAUUACAUGGAAUACCAAUUGCGAAGGCAGGUUACUACUAAUGGAUUGACGCUGAUGGACGAAAGCGUGGGUAGCGAACAGGAUUAGAUACCCUGGUAGUCCACGCCGUAAACGAUGGAUACUAGCUGUUGGGCGCAAGUUCAGUGGCUAAGCGAAAGUGAUAAGUAUCCCACCUGGGGAGUACGUUCGCAAGAAUGAAACUCAAAUGAAUUGACGG
rnacentral:rRNA from 1 species